GUGAAGUGACUUGCUCAUGGAGCUGAAAUCAGUCGAAGAUACCAGCUGGCUGCAACUGUUUAUUAAAAACACAGCACUGUGCAAACACGAAAGUGGACGUAUACGGUGUGACGCCUGCCCGGUGCCGGAAGGUUAAUUGAUGGGGUUAUCCGUAAGGAGAAGCUCUUGAUCGAAGCCCCGGUAAACGGCGGCCGUAACUAUAACGGUCCUAAGGUAGCGAAAUUCCUUGUCGGGUAAGUUCCGACCUGCACGAAUGGCGUAAUGAUGGCCAGGCUGUCUCCACCCGAGACUCAGUGAAAUUGAACUCGCUGUGAAGAUGCAGUGUACCCGCGGCAAGACGGAAAGACCCCGUGAACCUUUACUAUAGCUUGACACUGAACACUGGUCCUUGAUGUGUAGGAUAGGUGGGAGGCUUUGAAGUGUGGACGCCAGUCUGCAUGGAGCCAUCCUUGAAAUACCACCCUUUAAUGGCUGGUGUUCUAACGUGGGCCCGUAAUCCGGGUUGCGGACAGUGUCUGGUGGGUAGUUUGACUGGGGCGGUCUCCUCCUAAAGAGUAACGGAGGAGCACGAAGGUCAGCUAAUCCUGGUCGGACAUCAGGAGGUUAGUGCAAUGGCAUAAGCUGGCUUGACUGCGAGCGUGACGGCGCGAGCAGGUGCGAAAGCAGGUCAUAGUGAUCCGGUGGUUCUGAAUGGAAGGGCCAUCGCUCAACGGAUAAAAGGUACUCCGGGGAUAACAGGCUGAUACCGCCCAAGAGUUCAUAUCGACGGCGGUGUUUGGCACCUCGAUGUCGGCUCAUCACAUCCUGGGGCUGAAGUAGGUCCCAAGGGUAUGGCUGUUCGCCAUUUAAAGUGGUACGCGAGCUGGGUUUAGAACGUCGUGAGACAGUUCGGUCCCUAUCUGCCGUGGGCGCUGGAGAAUUGAGGGGGGCUGCUCCUAGUACGAGAGGACCGGAGUGGACGCAUCACUGGUGUUCGGGUUGUCAUGCCAAUGGCAUUGCCCGGUAGCUAAAUGCGGAAGAGAUAAGUGCUGAAAGCAUCUAAGCACGAAACUUGCCCCGAGAUGAGUUCUCCCUGACUCCUUGAGAGUCCUGAAGGAACGUUGAAGACGACGACGUUGAUAGGCCGGGUGUGUAAGCGCAGCGAUGCGUUGAGCUAACCGGUACUAAUGAACCGUGAGGCUUAACCUU
rnacentral:rRNA from 1 species